rnacentral:rRNA from 1 species
GGGGAAUUUUCCGCAAUGGGCGAAAGCCUGACGGAGCAAUACCGCGUGAGGGAUGACGGCCUGUGGGUUGUAAACCUCUUUUCUCAAGGAAGAAGCUCUGACGGUACUUGAGGAAUAAGCAUCGGCUAACUCUGUGCCAGCAGCCGCGGUAAUACAGAGGAUGCAAGCGUUAUCCGGGAUCACUGGGCAUAAAGCGUCUGUAGGUUGCUUGCCAAGUCUGCUGUUAAAGACUAGGGCCUAACCCUGGGAAAGCAGUGGAAACUAGUAGGCUUGAGUGUGGUAGAGGUAGAGGGAAUUCCUGGUGUAGCGGUGAAAUGCGUAGAUAUUAGGAAGAACACCAAUGGCGAAAGCACUCUGCUGGGCCAUAACUGACACUGAGAGACGAAAGCUAGGGGAGCAAAUGGGAUUAGAUACCCCAGUAGUC